CCUACGGGGGGCAGCAGUGGGGAAUAUUGGACAAUGGGGGGAACCCUGAUCCAGCCAUGCCGCGUGUGUGAAGAAGGCCCUCGGGUUGUAAAGCACUUUCAGUGAGGAAGAACGCCUGGUGGUUAAUACCCAUCAGGAAAGACAUCACUCACAGAAGAAGCACCGGCUAACUCCGUGCCAGCAGCCGCGGUAAUACGGAGGGUGCGAGCGUUAAUCGGAAUUACUGGGCGUAAAGCGCGCGUAGGUGGCUUGAUAAGCCGGUUGUGAAAGCCCCGGGCUCAACCUGGGAACGGCAUCCGGAACUGUCAAGCUAGAGUGCAGGAGAGGAAGGUAGAAUUCCCGGUGUAGCGGUGAAAUGCGCAGAGAUCGGGAGGAAUACCAGUGGCGAAGGCGGCCUUCUGGACUGACACUGACACUGAGGUGCGAAAGCGUGGGUAGCAAACAGGAUUAGAUACCCGUGUAGUC
rnacentral:rRNA from 1 species